rnacentral:rRNA from 1 species
UACGGAGGGUGCAAACGUUGCUCGGAAUCAUUGGGCGUAAAGCGCACGUAGGCGGCCUGUUAAGUCGGGUGUGAAAUCUUGGAGCUUAACUCCGAAACUGCAUUCGAUACUGCCGUGCUUGAGGACUGGAGAGGAGACUGGAAUUUACGGUGUAGCGGUGAAAUGCGUAGAUAUCGUAAGGAAGACCCAGUGGCGAAGGCGGGUCUCUGGACAGUUCCUGACGCUGAGGCACGAAGGCCAGGGGGAGCAAACGGG